UACGAAGGGGGCUAGCGUUGCUCGGAAUCACUGGGCGUAAAGGGUGCGUAGGCGGCUCUUUAAGUCGGGGGUGAAAUCCUGGAGCUCAACUCCAGAACUGCCUUCGAUACUGAAGAGCUUGAGUCCGGGAGAGGUGAGUGGAACUGCGAGUGUAGAGGUGAAAUUCGUAGAUAUUCGCAAGAACACCAGUGGCGAAGGCGGCUCACUGGCCCGGUACUGACGCUGAGGUGCGAAAGCGUGGGGAGCAAACAGG
rnacentral:rRNA from 1 species